AGGCACAGAAUUAGGCCCGACC
rnacentral:miRNA from 1 species